AGAACGAACGCUGGCGGCAGGCUUAACACAUGCAAGUCGAACGCUGUGGUAACACAGAGUGGCAGACGGGUGAGUAACACGUGGGAACGUACCCUUUGGUCUGGAAUAACCCUGGGAAACUAGGGCUAAUACCGGAUACGUCCGAGAGGAGAAAGGUUUACUGCCGAAGGAGCGGCCCGCGUCCGAUUAGCUUGUUGGUGAGGUAACGGCUCACCAAGGCGACGAUCGGUAGCUGGUCUGAGAGGAUGACCAGCCACAUUGGGACUGAGACACGGCCCAAACUCCUACGGGAGGCAGCAGUGGGGAAUAUUGGACAAUGGGCGCAAGCCUGAUCCAGCCAUGCCGCGUGAGUGAUGACGGCCUUAGGGUUGUAAAGCUCUUUACCCGGGAAGAUAGUGACGGUACGGGAGAAUAAGCCCCGGCUAACUUCGCGCCAGCAGCCGC
rnacentral:rRNA from 1 species